AUUGAACGCUGGCGGCAGGCCUAACACAUGCAAGUCGAGCGGAUGACGGGAGCUUGCUCCUUGAUUCAGCGGCGGACGGGUGAGUAAUGCCUAGGAAUCUGCCCGAUAGUGGGGGACAACGUUUCGAAAGGAACGCUAAUACCGCAUACGUCCUACGGGAGAAAGUGGGGGCUCUUCGGACCUCACGCUAUCGGAUGAGCCUAGGUCGGAUUAGCUAGUUGGUGGGGUAAAGGCUCACCAAGGCGACGAUCCGUAACUGGUCUGAGAGGAUGAUCAGUCACACUGGAACUGAGACACGGUCCAGACUCCUACGGGAGGCAGCAGUGGGGAAUAUUGGACAAUGGGCGAAAGCCUGAUCCAGCCAUGCCGCGUGUGUGAAGAAGGUCUUCGGAUUGUAAAGCACUUUAAGUUGGGAGGAAGGGUUGCAGGUUAAUACCUUGCAGCCUUGACGUUACCGACAGAAUAAGCACCGGCUAACUUCGUGCCAGCCGCCGCCGUAACAC
rnacentral:rRNA from 1 species